UGCAGAGUGGCGCAGCGGAAACAUGCUGGGCUCUUAAUUCAAAGUCGAUGGAUCGAAACCAUCCUCUGCUA
rnacentral:tRNA from 1 species